rnacentral:rRNA from 1 species
AGCGUUUGAUCCUGGCUCAGAUUGAACGCUGGCGGCAGGCUUAACACAUGCAAGUCGAGCGGGGGAUAUUGCUUCGGUAAUUGACCUAGCGGCGGACGGGUGAGUAAUACUUAGGAAUCUGCCUAUUAAUGGGGGACAACAUCUCGAAAGGGAUGCUAAUACCGCAUACGCCCUACGGGGGAAAGCAGGGGAUCACUUGUGACCUUGCGUUAAUAGAUGAGCCUAAGUCGGAUUAGCUAGUUGGUGGGGUAAAGGCCUACCAAGGCGACGAUCUGUAGCGGGUCUGAGAGGAUGAUCCGCCACACUGGGACUGAGACACGGCCCAGACUCCUACGGGAGGCAGCAGUGGGGAAUAUUGGACAAUGGGGGGAACCCUGAUCCAGCCAUGCCGCGUGUGUGAAGAAGGCCUUAUGGUUGUAAAGCACUUUAAGCGAGGAGGAGGCUCUCUUGGUUAAUACCCAAGAUGAGUGGACGUUACUCGCAGAAUAAGCACCGGCUAACUCUGUGCCAGCAGCCGCGGUAAUACAGAGGGUGCGAGCGUUAAUCGGAUUUACUGGGCGUAAAGCGUGCGUAGGCGGCUUUUUAAGUCGGAUGUGAAAUCCCCGAGCUUAACUUGGGAAUUGCAUUCGAUACUGGGAAGCUAGAGUAUGGGAGAGGAUGGUAGAAUUCCAGGUGUAGCGGUGAAAUGCGUAGAGAUCUGGAGGAAUACCGAUGGCGAAGGCAGCCAUCUGGCCUAAUACUGACGCUGAGGUACGAAAGCAUGGGGAGCAAAACAGGAUUAGAUACCCUG